GCGCGGGCUUGGCCGCGGACUCUAACCCGCGACGGCAGUUAGCACGUCACGCCUUUCUGGGGUUAAAAAAAGACAAACCCGAGAGAGAAAGCUUCCUUCUACCGCUUCCUCUCCGGCUUUCUUUUGAGCUUUUGCACCGCCUCCUUUCUCCCCCACCCCCUCCAGUGGUUUCUUUCCUUUGGGGUUGAGAGUCAUGGGUUAAUAGAGGCAAUUAAAAUCUCAGCGUUGUUUUGGUCAAAUUGAAAUCCUAAAACUAAAAUUUCCUUUAGGUACUCUAAAUUCACGAGCCUUCAAAUAUAAAAGGAAGAUAAGCUGGAUGUUGACGUCAAGGAUGAUGCUGGACGCCAGAUGUGGAAGAUGGAGAAGCCUCUACCUGCCUGGGUCUCUACUGGCAAUUUAUAACCAGGAAAUCGGUCUGCGAGCCAUAGUGAUCAAUUGGUAACAUCAGCUUUGAAAAUUUCCAAGGCCAACGUCAUCUCAGUUAUGAGCCAUGAAAAUGAAGGAAACCCUGUCAUUUGUGAUAAUAUGGAUGAACUUGGAAGACAUUAUGCUAAGCAAAAUAAGCCAGACACAGAACAACAGGUACUGCAUGAUCUCACUUAUACAUGGAAACUAAAAAAGUUGAACUCAUGGAAGCAGACAGUAGAAUGGCGGUUACCAGAGGGGGGGUGGGAGAUGGGGAAUGCGGAGAUGUUGGUCAAAGGAUACAGAGCUUCAGUUAUGUAGAAUGAAUUGUAACAGAUUGCCACAAUUUCUCCUAAGAUAAAAAGAAUGGGUUUUUUAAUUAUUAUUAUUAUUUUCUUCUCUUCUCCUCUCCCCUUUUCCCCCUGUUCUCUGUUGUCUACGUAGUCCUUUGGAAAUGCAAACAUAACCUAUCACCUCCCCAUCACCAGACAUACCCUUUAAACAAGUUUCAAGACAGAUCUCUCCUCAGGAGUGCACAGUCGAUUUGCAGACCAAACCAUACCCAUCACAGAACUUCCACCAUACAGGGUCAUCUCAGAACUUUUACCUACUAGGAGGGCAUGUCGAAAGCAUGCCCACCUGGUCACUUUUACAACUUACUUCUGACCAGAAAGAUACCAACUUGACUGCCCAGUGGAUAACUGCCUGAGAGCAGGGAGACCCCUCUGUCCUUGCUCACUUCUCCCUUUAACUUAUAAAAAUUCCACUUUUUGCUCCAAAGGUGAGGUGACACAUUCAAAGCAGGACAUGUUAUUCUUCUUUCCCCAAGCCAGCUUUGGAAAUAAAUUCACUUUUUUUUUUUUUUGUGCCAGGCCUCACACUUAAUUGCACUCUGCAUGUGGUGAGCAACUAACCUGCUUUUGGUUACACAAUGAGUUUUAGAGACCUAAUGUAUGUCAUGGGGACUAUUGUUCAUGCUGUAUUGUAUACUUGGAGUUUGCUAAAGGAGUAGAUCAUGUGUUCCAUUACUCUUAAAAAAAAGGAACUAUGUGAAGAGGUGGAUAUGCUAAUUAGCUUGAAUAUAGCCAUUAGUUCAUUAUGUAGAUGUAUGUGGAAACAUCAUGUUGCAGACCUUAAAUAUAUACAAUUUUACUAAAAUUUUUAAAAAGAUUAUUUUAAGCAAACAUUUACAGUAGCAUCAAAAUAUAAAAACUACAUUGCAAAGGAUGUGGAAACCCAUAUGCUGAAGACUACACAAUAUUGCUGGAAGCAAUUAAAGACCUUUGGAAUAGGAGGUGAUUGUUCUUAUUUUUCAAGGUUGUUUUUGC